AUUGAACGCUGGCGGCAUGCCUUACACAUGCAAGUCGAACGGUAACAGGUCUUCGGAUGCUGACGAGUGGCGAACGGGUGAGUAAUACAUCGGAACGUGCCUAGUAGUGGGGGAUAACUACUCGAAAGAGUGGCUAAUACCGCAUGAGAUCUACGGAUGAAAGCAGGGGAGCGCAAGACCUUGUGCUACUAGAGCGGCGGAUGGCAGAUUAGGGAGUUGGUGGGAUAAAAGCUUACCAAGCCGACGAUCUGUAGCUGGUCUGAGAGGACGAUCAGCCACACUGGGACUGAGACACGGCCCAGACUCCUGCGGGAGGCAGCAGUGGGGAAUUUUGGACAAUGGGCGCAAGCCUGAUCCAGCAAUGCCGCGUGCAGGAUGAAGGCCUUCGGGUUGUAAACUGCUUUUGUACGGAACGAAAAGCCCUGGUUAAUACCCUGGGGUCAUGACGGUACCGUAAGAAUAAGCACCGGCUAACUACGUGCCAGCCGCCGCUGUAACAC
rnacentral:rRNA from 1 species